rnacentral:rRNA from 1 species
UACUGGUGCGCGAGAUGAGUAUUCUAAGGCGCUUGAGAGAACUCAGGAGAAGGAACUCGGCAAAUUGACACCGUAACUUCGGAAGAAGGUGUGCCCUAUUAGUGUGAAGCGAACAGCGGAGCAUGAACGGGUUGCAAAGAAUCGGUGGCUGCGACUGUUUAUUAAAAACACAGCACUCUGCUAACACGAAAGUGGACGUAUAGGGUGUGACGCCUGCCCGGUGCUGGAAGAUUAAAUGAUGGGGUGCAAGCUCUUGAUUGAAGUCCCAGUAAACGGCGGCCGUAACGAUAACGGUCCUAAGGUAGCGAAAUUCCUUGUCGGGUAAGUUCCGACCUGCACGAAUGGCGUAACGAUGGCCACACUGUCUCCUCCCGAGACUCAGCGAAGUUGAAAUGUUUGUGAUGAUGCAAUCUCCCCGCGGAAAGACGGAAAGACCCCAUGAACCUUUACUGUAGCUUUGUAUUGGACUUUGAACAGAUCUGUGUAGGAUAGGUGGGAGGCUUUGAAGCAGGGUCGCUAGAUCUUGUGGAGCCAACGUUGAAAUACCACCCUGGUGUGUUUGAGGUUCUAACCUAGGUCCAUUAUCUGGAUCGGGGACCGUGCAUGGUAGGCAGUUUGACUGGGGCGGUCUCCUCCCAAAGCGUAACGGAGGAGUUCGAAGGUACGCUAGUUACGGUCGGACAUCGUGACGAUAGUGCAAUGGCAUAAGCGUGCUUAACUGCGAGACUGACAAGUCGAGCAGAUGCGAAAGCAGGACAUAGUGAUCCGGUGGUUCUGUAUGGAAGGGCCAUCGCUCAACGGAUAAAAGGUACUCUGGGGAUAACAGGCUGAUACCGCCCAAGAGUUCAUAUCGACGGCGGUGUUUGGCACCUCGAUGUCGGCUCAUCUCAUCCUGGGGCUGUAGCCGGUCCCAAGGGUAUGGCUGUUCGCCAUUUAAAGAGGUACGUGAGCUGGGUUUAAAACCUGAGACAGUUUGGUCCCUAUCUUCCGUGGGCGCUGCAGAUUUGAGGAAGCCUGCUCCUAGUACGAGAGGACCGGAGUGGACACACCUCUGGUGUAUCGGUUGUCACGCCAGUGGCAUUGCCGAGUAGCUAUGUGUGGAAGAGAUAAACGCUGAAAGCAUCUAAGCGUGAAACUCGUUUCAAGAUGAGAUCUGCCGGGGCCUUGAGCCCCCUGAAGAGUCGUUCGAGACUAGGACGUUGAUAGGCAGGGUGUGGAAGCGCAGUAAUGCGUUAAGCUAACCUGUACUAAUUGCUCGUGUGGCUUGACCCU